ACUCCUACGGGAGGCAGCAGUGGGGAAUAUUGCACAAUGGGGGAAACCCUGAUGCAGCCAUGCCGCGUGUGUGAAGAAGGCCUUCGGGUUGUAAAGCACUUUCAGUAGGGAGGAAGGUAGUGUAGUUAACACCUGCACUAUUUGACGUUACCUACAGAAGAAGCACCGGCUAACUCCGUGCCAGCAGCCGCGGUAAUACGGAGGGUGCGAGCGUUAAUCGGAAUUACUGGGCGUAAAGCGCAUGCAGGCGGCCUGUUAAGUCAGAUGUGAAAGCCCGGGGCUUAACCUCGGAAUUGCAUUUGAAACUGGCAGGCUAGAGUCUUGUAGAGGGGUUAGAAUUUCAGGUGUAGCGGUGAAAUGCGUAGAGAUCUGAAGGAAUACCAGUGGCGAAGGCGGCCCCUGGACAAAGACUGACGCUCAGAUGCGAAAGCGUGGGAGCAAACAGGAUUAGAUACCCCUGGUAGCGACUGA
rnacentral:rRNA from 1 species